AUUCAGAACUUAAACAUUGUGAUACAGACAGUUACCUAAAACGUUUACGGCCAAAAAACGUGUGCCAUGUAAAAAUGUUUAUAGAUUCACCUGUCAUCCAGUCCUAUCAUGUAUCCUAUGACCCUCCAGAAGUGAUUGUAAGCUUGCCAGUCGCCGUCGCCCAGCUGCCUUAUGCCAAAGAAGUCGGGUUUUAGUACCGAGAAUCCGAUGAAGCCGAAUUGCGUGAGAGCGAUGUCUCUCUGCGAUACCACUCCGGUUCCUUUAGCGUUUGAGGCUAAUGAUGCUUUGACGUGGCGACUCCUCACUGCGUACAGUGACCUCCAGGACCUGAAGGAGAUAUACUACUGCUCUGUCAAGAAUGUUUCGGGAAAAGAUAAAUAAUACACAAAACGACCAAAACGUUCAUUAUUCGUCGAAAAUUUAUUUUAUCACCUUCAAAGUGUGCUCCAUCAGAUAUAAUAUAUAUGUAUAAAUCAUAUUGCAGGACGUUUGAACCGCGGUUGCAUUACCACGUCGCACGCGGCAGUGCGGGGAAUAUUUAAAAGCUAUUUAUAUGUUUUUUUUAUCAUUAAUUAAUUAUGAUCUUAUCAUUCGAAAGGAAUGUGUAAAUAAAAUUCUAAAACUUUAUCUCGUAUCACGAUAGACUGUAUAAUUAGAAAUGUAGAAAACAAUUAAAUAAUAAAUAUAUCUCGAUCGAUAA